rnacentral:rRNA from 1 species
GUAUGAAAUGAGCAUAACGAGGGCUUGACUGUCUCCGUCGUUCGAGUCAAUGAAAUUGAUCUCCCCGUGCAGAAGCGGGAAUAAACACAUAAGACGAGAAGACCCUAUGGAGCUUUAGACACUAAAGCAGAUCAGCAUUAAUACCCUAGACAUAGGACACGAAUAAACUGAACCCUGCCCUAAUGUCUUAGGUUGGGGCGACCGCGGAGAAACAAAAAACCCCCGCAAGGACCGAAUGUUCUACAUUCACAACCAAGAGCGACAGCUCUAAUUAACAGAUAUUUCUGACCAAUAAGAUCCGGCAGCGCCGAUCAAUGGACCAAGUUACCCUAGGGAUAACAGCGCAAUCUCCUCUUAGAGCCCGUAUCAACGAGGAGGUUUACGAACUCGAUGUUGGAUCAGGACAUCCUAAUGGUGCAGCCGCUAUUAAGGGUUCGUUUGUUCAACGAUUAAAAGAUCCCUA